rnacentral:rRNA from 5 species
GAACGACUCUCGGCAACGGAUAUCUCGGCUCUCGCAUCGAUGAAGAACGUAGCGAAAUGCGAUACUUGGUGUGAAUUGCAGAAUCCCGCGAACCAUCGAGUCUUUGAACGCAAGUUGCGCCCGAAGCCAUUAGGUUGAGGGCACGUCUGCCUGGGCGUCUCACG